rnacentral:rRNA from 1 species
GACAGAGGAUGCAAGCGUUAUCCGGAAUGAUUGGGCGUAAAGCGCGCGUAGGCGGGUCUUUAAGUGAGUGGUGAAAGGUUCGGGCUCAACCCGGACACUGCCCUUCAUACUGGGGACCUUGAGUGCGGGAGGGGCGAGUGGAAUGGUCGGUGUAGCGGUGAAAUGCGUAGAUAUCGAUCGGAACACCCAUGGCGAAGGCAGCUCGCUGGCCUGCAACUGACGCUGAGGCGCGAAAGCGUGGGGAGCAAACAGG